UGCCAGCCGCCGCGGUAAGACAGAGGGUGCAAACGUUGUUCGGAAUUACUGGGCGUAAAGCGCGUGUAGGCGGCCGAGUAAGUCGGGUGUGAAAGCCCAGGGCUCAACCUUGGAAGUGCACUCGAAACUGCACGGCUGGAGUCUCGGAGAGGGAAGUGGAAUUCUGGGUGUAGAGGUGAAAUUCGUAGAUAUCCAGAGGAACACCAGUGGCGAAGGCGACUUCCUGGACGAGUACUGACGCUGAGACGCGAAAGCGUGGGGAGCAAACAGGAUUAGAUA
rnacentral:rRNA from 1 species